CUGCGCGCGGUGCUCGGGCCUUCUUCCGCGACGCUUCUGUGUUUCGGGUCGGUGAAGGCGCGCUCAGCGAUCUCAGGCUUCUGCUUGGGAAGAUUUGUGAGGAUGCUGAGGCCUGAGGUCUUAUCAGUCUCGCCUUCUGUCCCUGCGGCUUCCCCCUCAUUGGGAGAGGCUCGGUCUCAGGGUCCUCGCUAUAAUUUCGGACUCCAGGAGACUCCUCAGAGCCGCCCUUCAGUGCAGGCCUCUGCGUCCAGCCCUUCUGGCACAUCUGGAGCCGCCGGCGACCGGAGCAGCAGCGCCAGUCUCCCUCGCCACCCGCCUCGCGCCCGGCCAGCCCAAGGUUCAUAUUUUGGAAACAAAAGAUCUAAUGCAGAAAACCCAUUUGCAUCAGAUUUUACUUUUGGUACAAGCUCGGCUUCUGCACAAGAUAGUAAUUAUCCUCAAAUACUGAAAACUCCAUUGUCUGCUGGAAAUCCCCAGAGAUCAGGUUAUAAAAGUUGGACACCACAAAUGGGAUAUUCAGCUACAUCGUCAUCUGCGGUUUCAACACACUCCCCAUCAGUUAUUGUAGCUGUUGUAGAAGGUAGAGGACUUGCCAGAGGUGAAAUAGGAAUGGCAAGUAUUGAUUUAAAAAGCCCACAAAUUAUAUUAUCUCAGUUUGCAGACAAUACAACAUAUGCAAAGGUGAUCACUAAACUCAGAAUUUUAUCACCUUUGGAAAUAAUAAUGUCAAAUACUGCUUGUGUUGUGGGGAAUUCAACUAAGUUGUUUACUCUGAUCACAGAAAAUUUCAAGAAUGUUAAUUUUACUACUAUCCAAAGGAAAUACUUCAAUGAAACAAAAGGACUAGAGUACAUUGAACAGUUAUGCAUAACAGAAUUCAGCACUGUCCUAAUGGAGGUUCAGUCCAAGUAUUACUGCCUUGCAGCUGUUGCAGCUUUAUUAAAAUAUGUAGAAUUUAUUCAAAAUUCAGUUUAUGCACCAAAAUCGCUGAAGAUUUGUUUCCAGGGUAGUGAACAGACAGCCAUGAUAGAUUCAUCAUCAGCCCAAAACCUUGAAUUACUAAUUAAUAAUCAAGACUGUAGGAAUAAUCACACACUCUUUGGUGUUCUAAAUUAUACUAAGACUCCUGGAGGAAGUAGAAGACUUCGUUCUAAUAUAUUAGAACCUCUAGUUGAUAUUGAAACCAUUAACAUGAGAUUAGAUUGUGUUCAAGAACUACUUCAAGAUGAGGAACUCUUUUUUGGACUUCAAUCAGUUAUAUCAAGAUUUCUUGAUACAGAGCAGCUUCUUUCUGUUUUAGUCCAAAUUCCAAAGCAAGACACGGUUAAUGCAGCUGAAUCAAAGAUAACAAAUUUAAUAUACCUAAAACAUACCUUGGAACUUGUGGAUCCUUUAAAGGGUCCAGUCCAGGACCAUGCAUUUGCUCUCGCAAACAGGGUGAACGUUCCUAAAACCUGCCGGACUGUCUGCAAGAAGUGUGGAAGCACCAGCCCCACAAAGUGACACAGUACAAGAAGGGCAAAGAUUCUCUUUAUGCCCAGGGAAAGCGGCAUUAUGACAGGAAGCAGAGUGGCUAUCGUGGGCAGACUAAGCCAAUUUUCCGGAAAAAGGCUAAAACUACAAAGAAGAUUGUGCUGAGGCUUGAAUGUGUUGAGCUCAACUGCAGAUCUAAGAGAAUGCUGGCUAUUAAGAGAUGCAAGCAUUUUGAACUGGGAGGAGAUAAGAAGAGGAAGGGCCAAGUGAUCCAGUUCUAAGCUUUAUAUUUUGUUAAUAUUAUGAAGACAAUAAAAUCUUGAGGUUAUGUUC